rnacentral:rRNA from 1 species
UACGAGAGGCCCAAACGUUAUUCGGAAUUACUGGGCUUAAAGAGUUCGUAGGCGGCGCAGAAAGUCGGGUGUGAAAGCCCUCGGCUUAACCGAGGAAUUGCGCCCUAAACUACUGUGCUUGAGGAACCUAGAGGUGAGCAGAACAGAUGGUGGAGCGGUGAAAUGCGUUGAUAUCAUCUGGAAUACCGGAGGCGAAGGCGGCUCACUGGGGGUUUUCUGACGCUGAGGAACGAAAGCCAGGGUAGCGAACGGG